rnacentral:rRNA from 1 species
UACAGAGGGGGCAAGCGUUGUUCGGAAUUACUGGGCGUAAAGGGCGCGUAGGCGGCCUUCUAAGUCGAACGUGAAAUCCCCGGGCUCAACCCGGGAACUGCGUCCGAUACUGGAAGGCUUGAAUCCGGGAGAGGGAUGUGGAAUUCCAGGUGUAGCGGUGAAAUGCGUAGAUAUCUGGAGGAACACCGGUGGCGAAGGCGAACAUCCUGGACCGGUAUUGACGCUGACGGCGCGGAAAGCCAGGGGAGCAAAGCGGGG